rnacentral:rRNA from 1 species
CGCGAACGGCUCAUUAUAACAGCUAUAAUUUACUUGAAUUUGACAACCCUACUUGGAUACCGGUGGUAAUUCUAGCGCUAAUACAUGCACCAAAGCUCCGAUCGCGAGGGAAGAGCGCAUUUAUUAGAACAAAACCACACGGCUUCGGCCGUCCAAUGUUGACUCAGAAUAACUAAGCUGAUCGCAUGGUCUUGCACCGGCGACGUUUCUUUCAAGUAUCUGCCUUAUCAACUUUCGAUGGUAGUGUAUCUGACUACCAUGGUGAUGACGGGUAACGGAGGAUAAGGGUUCGACUCCGGAGAAGGGGCCUGAGAAAUGGCCACUACGUCUAAGGAUGGCAGCAGGCGCGCAAAUUACCCACUCUCAGUACGAGGAGGUAGUGACGAGAAAUAACAAGACCGUUCUCACAAGAGGCCGGUCAUUGGAAUGGGUACAAUUUAAACCCUUUAACGAGUAUCUAUGAGAGGGCAAGUCUGGUGCCAGCAGCCGCGGUAAUUCCAGCU